rnacentral:rRNA from 1 species
GGGGAAGGGUCUUCGGGACGAGUAGGGUGGCGCACGGGUGAGUAACGCGUAGGUAAUCUACCCUUAUAUUUGGGAUAACAUCGGGAAACUGGUGCUAAUACCGAAUGGUCUUCUUUGCUGCAGGGCAAAGGAGUAAAGGUGGCCUCUUCAUGAAAGCUACCGUGUAGGGAUGAGCCUGCGUACCAUUAGCUAGUAGGUGGGGUAACGGCCCACCUAGGCGACGAUGGUUAGCGGGUCUGAGAGGAUGAUCCGCCACACUGGAACUGGAACACGGACCAGACUCCUACGGGAGGCAGCAGUGAGGAGUAUUGCGCAAUGGGGGAAACCCUGACGCAGCGACGCCGCGUGAGUGAGGAAGGUUUUCGGAUCGUAAAGCUCUGUCAGAAGGGAAGAAGUGUUAUACGGUUAAUACCCGUAUAAUUUGACGGUACCUUCAGAGGAAGCACCGGCUAACUCCGUGCCAGCAGCCGCGGUAAUACGGAGGGUGCGAGCGUUGUUCGGAAUUACUGGGCGUAAAGGGCGCGUAGGCGGCCUGAUAAGUCAGAUGUGAAAGUCCACGGCUCAACCGUGGAAGUGCAUUUGAAACUGUCAGGCUUGAGUAUCGGAGGGGAGUGUGGAAUUCCCGGUGUAGAGGUGAAAUUCGUAGAGAU